rnacentral:rRNA from 1 species
AAAGGUGUGCUAAUACCGCAUAAUCUCUGAGGAGAAAAGCAGGGGAUCGCAAGACCUUGCGCUUUUGGAGCGGCCGAUGCCUGAUUAGCUUGUUGGUAAGGUAAAAGCUUACCAAGGCUUCGAUCAGUAGCUGGUCUGAGAGGACGACCAGCCACACUGGGACUGAGACACGGCCCAGACUCCUACGGGAGGCAGCAGCGGGGAAUUUUGGACAAUGGGGGCAACCCUGAUCCAGCCAUGCCGCGUGAGUGAAGAAGGCCUUCGGGUUGUAAAGCUCUUUCAGCCGGAACGAAACGGUUACGGUUAAUACCCGUGACUACUGACGGUACCGGAAGAAGAAGCACCGGCUAACUACGUGCCAGCAGCCGCGGUAAUACGUAGGAUGCGAGCGUUAAUCGGAAUUACUGGGCGUAAAGCGUGCGCUGGUGGUUUUGUAAGUCAGAUGUGAAAUCCCCGGGCUUAACCUGGGAACUGCGUUUGAAACUACAAGGCUAGAGUGUGGCAGAGGGGGGUGGAAUUCCGCGUGUAGCAGUGAAAUGCGUAGAGAUGUGGAGGAACACCGAUGGCGAAGGCAGCCCCCUGGGUCAACACUGACGCUCAGGCACGAAAGCAUGGGGAGCAAACAGGAUUAGAUACCCUGGUAGUCCAUGCCCUAAACGAUGUCAACUAGUUGUCGGGCCUUUACGGGCUUGGUAACGUAGCUAACGCGUGAAGUUGACCGCCUGGGGAGUACGAUCGCAAGAUUAAAACUCAAAUGAAUUGACGGGGACCCGCACAAGCGGUGGAUUAUGUGGAUUAAUUCGAUGCAGCGCGAAAAACCUUACCUACCCUUGACAUGUAUCGAAGCCCGCAGAAAAGCGGAGGUGCCCGAAAGGGAACGAUAACACAGGUGCUGCAUGGCUGUCGUCAGCUCGUGUCGUGAGAUGUUGGGUUAAGUCCCGCAACGAGCGCAACCCUUGUCAUUAAUUGCCAUCAUUUAGUUGGGCACUUUAAUGAGACUGCCGGUGACAAACCGGAGGAAGGUGGGGAUGACGUCAAGUCCUCAUGGCCCUUA